rnacentral:rRNA from 1 species
CCCUUCGGGGGUGUAUAAAGCGGCGAACGGGUGAGUAACAGGUGGGUAAUCUACCUCCCGGUGGGGGACAACAGCUGGAAACGGCCGCUAAUACCGCAUUCGGUUGUUUCGUCAUAAGUCGAGACAAAGAAAGGCGCGUUUGCGCCGCCGGGAGAUGGGCCCGCCCCCCAUUAGCUAGUUGGUGAGAUCACAGCCCACCAAGGCUUCGAUGGGUAGCCGAGCUGAGAGGUUGAUCGGCCACACUGGGACUGAGAUACGGCCCAGACACCUACGGGUGGCAGCAGUAGGGAAUAUUGCGCAAUGGGCGAAAGCCUGACGCAGCCAUGCCGCGUGGAUGAUGAAGGCCUUCGGGUCGUAAAGUCCUUUUCUGAGGGAAGAACAGGUGAGGUAGGAAAUGCCCUCGCUUUGACGGUACCUCAGGAAUAAGCAACGGCAAACUCCGUGCCAGCAGCCGCGGUAAUACGGAGGUUGCAAGCGUUGUUCGGAUUAACUGGGCGUAAAGGGAGCGCAGGCGGUUUGGUCAGUCUGAAGUGGAAGCCCGGGGCUCAACCUCGGAAGCGCUUUGGAUACUGCCAGACUUGAGUUCGUGAGAGGAGAGUGGAAUUCCAGGUGUAGCGGUGAAAUGCGUAGAUAUCUGGAGGAACAUCUGUGGCGAAAGCGGCUCUCUGGCACGAUACUGACGCUGAGGCUCGAAAGCGUGGGGAGCGAACAGGAUUAGAUACCCUGGUAGUCCACGCCGUAAACGUUGUG